rnacentral:rRNA from 1 species
UACGAAGGGUGCAAGCGUUACUCGGAAUUACUGGGCGUAAAGCGUGCGUAGGUGGUUUGUUAAGUCUGAUGUGAAAGCCCUGGGCUCAACCUGGGAAUUGCAUUGGAUACUGGCAGGCUAGAGUGCGGUAGAGGGUAGUGGAAUUCCCGGUGUAGCAGUGAAAUGCGUAGAGAUCGGGAGGAACACCAGUGGCGAAGGCGACUACCUGGCCUGUUUCUUGACGCUGAGGCGCGAAAGCUAGGGGAGCAAACGGG